UCAAACUUGGUCAUUAAGAGGAAGUAAAAGUCGUAACAAGGUUUCCGUAGGUGAACCUGCGGAAGGAUCAUUAACAAUUGUCCACCACAAUGGAUAAUUUAUCCAUAUCCACCUUGUGUGAAUCAAUGACUUGUUUGUUGGCAGGUUAAGCUUUUUGGAAAGCUGUGGGUUUGAGGCCAAAUUGGUCUGCUCGGCCUGCCAAUUUUAUUAUAUUUAACUUGUCUAAAUGCUAAUUGUCUGAAAUAUAUAUUAUAUAUAAAUACAACUUUCAACAACGGAUCUCUUGGCUCUCGCAUCGAUGAAGAACGCAGC
rnacentral:misc_RNA from 1 species